rnacentral:rRNA from 1 species
GAAGGGGGCUAGCGUUGUUCGGAAUUACUGGGCGUAAAGGGCGUGUAGGCGGCCCGUUAAGACAGGUGUGAAAUUCCUGGGCUCAACCCAGGACGUGCGCCUGUGACUGGCGGGCUUGAGUCCGGGAGAGGAUGGUGGAACUCCCAGUGUAGAGGUGAAAUUCGUAGAUAUUGGGAAGAACACCCGUGGCGAAGGCGGCCAUCUGGACCGGUACUGACGCUAAGGCGCGACAGCGUGGGGAGCAAACAGGAUUAGAUACCCUGGUAGUCCACGCCGUAAACGAUGAGUGCUAGACGUUGGGCAGCCUAGCUGUUCAGUGUCGCAGCUAACGCAUUAAGCACUCCGCCUGGGGAGUACGGCCGCAAGGUUG